rnacentral:tRNA from 1 species
AUUCUAAUAGUUUAAUUAAAAUAUUGACUUGUGGAGUCAGAGAUAUAAAUUGUAUUUAGGAUA